UACAGAGGUCUCAAGCGUUGUUCGGAUUCAUUGGGCGUAAAGGGUGCGCAGGCGGCUAUGUGUGUGAGGCGUGAAAGCCCGGGGCUUAACCCCGGAAUUGCACCUCAAACUACAUGGCUAGAGCAUUGGAGAGGGUAGCGGAAUUCACGGUGUAGCAGUGAAAUGCGUAGAUAUCGUGAGGAACACCAGAGGCGAAGGCGGCUACCUGGACAAUUGCUGACGCUCAGGCACGAAAGCGUGGGGAGCAAAAGGG
rnacentral:rRNA from 1 species